rnacentral:rRNA from 1 species
GUAGGGAAUAUUGCACAAUGGGGGAAACCCUGAUGCAGCGACGCCGCGUGAGUGAUGAAGGCCUUCGGGUCGUAAAGCUCUGUCGUAUGGGACUAACAAAAUGAAGGUACCAUGCAAGAAAGGAUCGGCUAACUUCGUGCCAGCAGCCGCGGUAAGACGAGGGAUCCUAGCGUUGUUCGGAAUUAUUGGGCGUAAAGCGGGUGUAGGCGGGCCUGUCAGUCAGGUGUGAAAUCCCAGGGCUUAACCCUGGAAGUGCACUUGAUACUGCAGGUCUUGAGUGUGGUAGAGGCUAUUAGAAUUCUUGGUGUAGUGGUGAAAUACGUAGAUAUCAAGAGGAAUACCGGAGGCGAAGGCGGAUAGCUGGGCCAACACUGACGCUGAGACCCGAAAGCGUGGGGAUCAAACAGGAUUAGAAACCCCAGUGGUCC